rnacentral:rRNA from 1 species
CAAGGUAUUGCCCUAGUACGGCGAGUGAAGCGGCAACAGCUCAAAUUUGAAAGCUAGCCUUCGGGUUCGCAUUGUAAUUUGUAGAGGAUGAUUUGGGGAAGCCGCCUGUCUAAGUUCCUUGGAACAGGACGUCAUAGAGGGUGAGAAUCCCGUAUGUGACAGGAAAUGGCACCCUAUGUAAAUCUCCUUCGACGAGUCGAGUUGUUUGGGAAUGCAGCUCUAAAUGGGAGGUAAAUUUCUUCUAAAGCUAAAUAUUGGCGAGAGACCGAUAGCGCACAAGUAGAGUGAUCGAAAGAUGAAAAGCACUUUGGAAAGAGAGUUAAAAAGCACGUGAAAUUGUUGAAAGGGAAGCGCUUGCAAUCAGACUUGUUUAAACUGUUCGGCCGGUCUUCUGACCGGUUUACUCAGUUUGGACAGGCCAGCAUCAGUUUCGGCGGCCGGAUAAAGGCUCUGGGAAUGUGGCCUCCACUUCGGUGGAGGUGUUAUAGCCCAGGGUGUAAUACGGCCAGCCGGGACUGAGGUCCGCGCUUCGGCUAGGAUGCUGGCGUAAUGGUUGUAAGCGACCCGUCUUGAAACACGGGACCACAAACA